GUAAUAUGUAUGAUGAGUUCAUAGUUCAACUGAUUUUUAUUGAUGUUUACUCAUAUGUCUUUCGCUCCUAUCUGAUAACUCUA